GAAAAUUUGAUCUGAUUAGAUUAAUUCAGAUGUAAAUUUAUGUUAUACGGUGAAUGUAUCGAGUCAUAUAUUAUGCAGAAUAUAUUGAGAAAAAUGGUAAACUAAC
rnacentral:lncRNA from 1 species